AUUGGAAGGGGAAAAAGUGAAUGUUCAUAAGAAAAACUCACCAGAAGGAAAACAAGAAAUUGGUGCCAACGCUUCUCAAGACGUCACAGUAGAAGCCCAUGUCACAUCGAUAUCAGCGGAGGACAAACUCGACGUUCAGAAGAACACCUCACCAG